GGCCUUACAGCUCAAUGGUUAGAGCGUCUGUCCGGUUAUCGGAAGGUUACGUGGUUCAAUUCCGGCCGUUAGGGCUC